rnacentral:ncRNA from 1 species
GCUGGUCAUGACAUCAACAAAGUUCACCUGCUGCUCGCAGAUGAUGCGCGUGAUGCGCUCCCGGUCUUCAUGGGUCAACAUGUUGAUGUAGUUAUGCGCCAGCUCAUUGCUCAGGAUAUUGGUGCCGUCGCUGAUGCGCAGAAUACAGAUCCCCACCGGCGCCGAAGCGACAAUCUUGCGGUUAAACUGCUCGUGCUCUUCCAGCCGGAAGGCGUUGUUUUCCGCCGGCAUGAACAUUUUGCGUUCAAAUAGCCAGGCCAGGCUGAACAGCACGAUCGCCGAGAGCAUGUUGAGCAGGACGGCGUUGAGGAUCAGGAUCUUGAAGCGCUCCGCCACGUUUUUUAUCGGCAGCGAAUACACCACGCUCAAUGAAGACGGUGGCAGCGCCUUUUUCAUGAUCAGAUCGUGGUAGCUGUCCACGUAGCCAAAAUAGAUAUGCAAAUCCGGGUAGCUGUCCGUCGGCAGCGCA